rnacentral:rRNA from 1 species
AGUGAACGCUGGCGGUAGGCCUAACACAUGCAAGUCGAACGGCAGCACAGUAAGAGCUUGCUCUUACGGGUGGCGAGUGGCGGACGGGUGAGGAAUACAUCGGAAUCUACUUUUUCGUGGGGGAUAACGUAGGGAAACUUACGCUAAUACCGCAUACGACCUACGGGUGAAAGCAGGGGAUCUUCGGACCUUGCGCGAUUGAAUGAGCCGAUGUCGGAUUAGCUAGUUGGCGGGGUAAAGGCCCACCAAGGCGACGAUCCGUAGCUGGUCUGAGAGGAUGAUCAGCCACACUGGAACUGAGACACGGUCCAGACUCCUACGGGAGGCAGCAGUGGGGAAUAUUGGACAAUGGGCGAAAGCCUGACCGAGCCAUACCGCGUGGGUGAAGAAGGCCUUCGGGUUGUAAAGCCCUGUUGUUGGGAAAGAACAUAUGCAGGUUAAUACCCGGCUGUCCUGACGGUACCCAAUGAAUAAGCACCGGCUAACUUCGUG